AAUUGCCGAGCAUGAAAUACAAAACACUUUGAAAGGUUCAUCAUCGAUGGCCAAAGGCUGACAAGGCGACAUUAAGAACCCAAGAAAAUUGAAAAUCUCCGACAUGGCCAUGCUCAAACAUAUCUGAAAUGAGGAAAAAUUCAAUGACGAGUCCACAUCGACAAUCAAGUGCCAAUUUGUGUUGAGAACUUUCUAGCCUUUAAUUCCAGUUUCCGUUUGGAGAGCUCCUUCAUGGGAACUCGUUUAAGCGCAUCAGGUCAUACUACCUGAGCGACAAGGAUACACCCGGGUCUGAAAUUCUCUCAACUGCAAUAAACCAAUGUUAAUUUCUAGUGCUAUGUCGAGUCCCUCAGUUUUAAAGCUUUGCCUGGACAUUAAUCCAAGGUUAGAACAGAUCAAGCUUGGGCUCCAGGUCCCAAAAGCUAAGCUAUUGCAUUUCCAAUCUCAGCCUCCGAUGAAAAACAGGGGAAACAUAUUUUUACGGCAAAAAUAUAAUAUCUGAGUGGCAAAUUGCACGCCAAGUCUUUCCUUCCACUGAUCGGGUGGUAAUGGUCAUACUUACUUGAGACUCGUAAAACUGGAGUUUCGUCCGUAGUUUCUUUAUGAACAGUAGAUAUCCAACCGUGGUCAGCAGGAGCAAGAUCGACACCAAAAUGCCAAUGCUGUAGAUGAUCAUCAAUGCCAAAACAACAUUCGAGUGGGCAAGCCCCUCGGAUCCGAGGCAUUCAACCGCAUCGGAAUCAUUCCUGGAUAACGUCGAACCCUCUGGGGUCAUCUCAUCCUUUUAAGGUCAAAGCAGUCAGUAUAGACUGAAAAUGUAACUUACCACAUCCUAUCGAUAGUGUGAUGACUGAUUUUGAAUGGUACGGUACAAAACCAACCAGACUUCUCCUAAACGUUGGAAUCGCCAAUUUGAGUCGCUAAUAUUUAGCUGAGCAAUUGAAUAAAGAUAAGGCUCUUAUGCAUCGUCGGCUUAUCAACUUGA